CGACGAGUUACUUGGAACGGUAUGACGUUAUUGCCAGGCAUAUGCGCAUGCGUAAUUAUAUUUAUAAUGCUUGGGUUUCGUCGAGUUCAUUCGUAGAGGACGUGAAAUCAGCCGGGAAUCCGUCGUCACAGACAUACACUUCUGACCAAUCACAGUACGUCAAUUGGCUGUCGAUCAUGUCAACACCAGGUCAACACUAGAUUCGUUUUCAAGAUAAUCGCGAGCUUGAAUGCUGGGCUCUGUUGUUCACCAAGAAAAUAUGGCUAGAAAAUUAUUAUUAACGUUCAAUAGUACUCUACCCACAACAACUGCAAGUUCCGGAAUCAACUCUAUCCAACAGCUUUUUGCAUAUGGACAACAAACACCAGGAGCAAUACCCAUCGUUGUAGGUUUU